rnacentral:lncRNA from 1 species
AAAGGUAUCUUAUGGUCACGGUCAAUUCAUUAAUCGAGACUAAAUGUAGGUAUAUGGUCACGAUAAUUAAGUGACUGUGACUAAUUGUUAGGUCUAUUAUGACAAAAUGUACACUUAUGGUCACAACUAUUAAUGACCGUGACUAAAAUUAAUCAUAUGAUGUUCGCCCUAUCCCCAAAUUUUGGUGAUGGUUCAUUAUUGAUCGUGAC